GAUGAACGCUGGCGGUAUGCUUAACACAUGCAAGUCGAACGGUCACUUCGGUGAUAGUGGCGGACGGGUGAGUAACGCGUGAGAAUCUGUCUUCAGGUCGGGGACAACAGUUAGAAAUGACUGCUAAUACCGGAUGUGCCUUUGGGUGAAAGAGUUAUUGCCUGAAAAAGAGCUCGCGUCAGAUUAGCUAGUAGGUGGUGUAAGAGACUACCUAGGCUCCGAUCUGUAGCCGGUCUGAGAGGACGAUCAGCCACACUGGAGCUGAGACACGGUCCAGACUCCUACGGGAGGCAGCAGUGGGGAAUUUUCCGCAAUGGGCGAAAGCCUGACGGAGCAAUACCGCGUGAGGGACGAAGGCUUUUGGGUCGUAAACCUCUUUUCUCAAGGAAGAUGAUGACGGUACUUGAGGAAUAAGCAUCGGCUAACUCUGUG
rnacentral:rRNA from 1 species